rnacentral:lncRNA from 1 species
AGUAAGGAGGAGAUAGAGAAGAUGGUGAAAGAUGCAGAGAGGUAUAAGGCAGAGGAUGAAGAAGUGAAGAAGAAAGUGGAGGCGAAGAAUUCGCUUGAGAAUUAUGCUUAUAAUAUGAGGAACACGAUUAAGGAUGAGAAGAUUAGUGGGAAGUUGAGUGUGGAGGAUAAAGAGAAGAUUGAGAAGGCUGUGGAAGAUGCUAUAGUGUGGUUGGAAGGGAAUCAAUUGGGUGAAGUUGAAGAGUUUGAGGAUAAGCAGAAGGAAUUGGAAGGGAUUUGUAAUCCUAUUAUUGCUAAGAUGUAUCAAGGUGGUGCUGGAGAUGUGCCUAUGGGGGGUGAUAUGCCUGGUGCUGGUUCUGCUGGGUCGGGUUCUGGAGCUGGGCCUAAAAUUGAAGAAGUUGACUAAUGUUCUUUAAAACCUUUGUUGGUUAUGUUGAGUGUAUCAUGGUACUAUAAAAGUUGUUUUGUUCAUUAGGAUAAUGUUAGUGUAACAGAAUGUAUGUAAGCAUGUAUUAAAGAAU